rnacentral:lncRNA from 12 species
AGCACAGCUGGGACACAAACCAGCUGGAACUCUGAGCCCACACGCGUUGCCACUGCACUAUGCUGCCCCCCCCCCAAGCAGUCUGCCACGAAGUGGAACCCACAGGAACCUUAGCUCGGGGGAAGGGUCCGUGUCCCAGCCUGCCACCCUGCCCCAGCAUGCCAGGCCUCGCUGCCCAGACCAGCUCACCAGAGUAGCAAGGGUGGCUUCUCCGUUUAAACCAGACCCUGAUGAGGAAGGCAUUACAAGGGAGCGGCGGGCUCGGAACGCAUCCUAUAACUUGCACCUGGGCCAUCUUCUGAUGUUUAGUCAACGUGACAAGCACUGCUGGCCAUCGAGCUUUGUCGGAACUCUGUCCAAGCUGGGGAGCAACCUUGCCCAUGCAAGGAGUGGCUACAGAUAUGAGGAAGCACGGUGGAUCGCUAUCUGCAUGGAUGCUGGGGCAGUUUUCCCAGGUUCAAAUCCUGUCUCUGCUUACUUACAAGUGAGGGCCCUGAUCAGUGGAGAUGCUUUGCGUCAGAAGAAUUCCCUGAGCACAUGCUGGGCCAAGCCUCGAGGAGGCAGAAAUCAACCAGCCUUGGCAGCUGCCUCGUAGGUGCUCACAGUCACAUGAAGAUACAGGCAAGUAGGUGAACCACAGGAUAGAGGGGUGCAUGCCGAAGAGGGAUGCCCAGUAUGGUGAGAAGUGGAGGAGCCUCCAUCUCUGCUGGGGCCCAGAAGAGGCUCCCCCAUGGAGGCGAAGGUGCAUGAGGGGCUUCCAAGCAGACAUUUCCAGGGGGCUGAUGGGUAUACUAGCCCACUGCUUCACCAGGAGGUCUUGGCUGGAGACAAAGCUGGAGCCCUCUGCACCGUGAUAGUGAUUGGAAUCAGAGCAACUGAUGGCCUGAUCCAGGGCUGGUGGGAAUGAGAAGAGGCUUUUGGUCCAAACACAGACGAGCGCUCAAGAUAUCCAGGGACUGACUGACUACCAGUGCUUGAGAAUGGAGGGGAUGUGAACUCACAGAGGAAGCCAAGGCCCUGCAGGGUGUUUCGUCAGGUUCCAGGAGGCCAGCCCUGGGGGCAGGAACGGCCAGUUCUCCCCUCUGCCAGCCCCUUUCCCUGGACAGGGACAACUUUCUUCCAGACUCUCCAGCAUUUUACAAAUGUGUUAUCAAGCACACCAGGAGGCAGGUUUCAGGUUCCCCUGUGGCAGGAACGUGUGUGCCAUAGUCCCUGGGCUCUCGGCAGAGCUCAGAGCUCAGCCGUCCCCGGAGCUUCAGGAAUGAGAGCUACUUCUCUAUUCCAAGCAGCCUCCUGAGAUCUAAUUCCUUGUCACAGGAAAGAGGAAGAACAGGCUCCAGCUCCCUCAGGGUCUGUUCUCCCUCCGGGGCUGCCCUCUCACCCACCCUGCCAGGCUGCGAGCCCAGCAGAAUAGGAAGCUUAGCCACUCAUCCUCGGAGGCUCGGUGCCCGUGGGCUCUCUGCUCCUGACACAAAGAGGAACAGCAAUGAUGUGAAUUCUGCACCUCAGAGACAUGAGGAUGUGGGAGUUGAGAAUGGUCCCCCCAACUCCCCAGUAGAAAGAUUUUUUUUUCUGGGGUGACUUUGGAGAUCCAGCAUAUGCAGUGUGCAAAACUUAAAACAGAACACUCAGAAGGGUAGGAAUAUAAACACCCACCUGCUUUUCCAAGGACAUAAAAUAGCUUUUAGAGUGACACAAAGCCUCCUUUUUGUGCAUAUUUCACUCCAUAGGGCACUUCCUAAAUGAGUCGAUGAAUCUGGGUCCAGAAAUUCUAUCAUGUGACUUAACCAGCUUUUUUUUUUUUUUUUUUCCAUCCACCCUGAUUGAAGCUGAAACAUUCCAGGGAAAAUCACUUUCCAAAACUUACACUUCUCCGGAGAGGCAGAAAAUAACUCUCUUUCAAAUCCACUGUAAAGAUUUCACUUUAAAAAAUAAAAUAAAGUAGAAUAAAAUGGAACCA